rnacentral:rRNA from 1 species
CAGCCGCCGCGGUAAUACCGGCGGCCCGAGUGGCGGCUACUAUUAUUGGGCCUAAAGCGUCCGUAGCCGGGCUGGUAAGUCCUCCGGGAAAUCUGGUCGCUUAACGAUCAGACUUCCGGAGGAUACUGCUGGCCUAGGGACCGGGAGAGGCCGAGGGUAUUCCCGGGGUAGGGGUGAAAUCCUGUAAUCCCGGGCGGACCACCUGUGGCGAAGGCGCUCGGCUGGAACGGGUCCGACGGUGAGGGACGAAGGCCAGGGGAGCGAACCGGAUUAGAUACCCGGGUAGUCCUGGCUGUAAACGAUGCGGACUAGGUGUCGGGCAAGCUAAGGGCUUGUCCGGUGCCGCAGGGAAGCCGUUAAGUCCGCCGCCUGGGGAGUACGGCCGCAAGGCUGAAACUUAAAGGAAUUGGCGGG